rnacentral:rRNA from 1 species
UGGGGAAUAUUGGACAAUGGGCGAAAGCCUGAUCCAGCCAUGCCGCGUGUGUGAAGAAGGUCUUCGGAUUGUAAAGCACUUUAAGUUGGGAGGAAGGGCAGUAAGCGAAUACCUUGCUGUUUUGACGAUACCGACAGAAUAAGCACCGGCUAACUCUGUGCCAGCAGCCGCGGUAAUACAGAGGGUGCAAGCGUUAAUCGGAAUUACUGGGCGUAAAGCGCGCGUAGGUGGUUCGUUAAGUUGAAUGUGAAAGCCCCGGGCUCAACCUGGGAACUGCCUCCAAAACUGGCGAGCUAGAGUAGGGCAGAGGGUGGUGGAAUUUCCUGUGUAGCGGUGAAAUGCGUAGAUAUAGGAAGGAACACCAGUGGCGAAGGCGACCACCUGGGCUCAUACUGACACUGAGGUGCGAAAGCGUGGGGAGCAAACAUG